CUUCUCCUUAUUAACCAGACCCCUGUGGAGAAUGCUCUUGAACUUUCCAUUGCUGAGGAUCUCGAUGGUGUCUCCAAUGUGCAUGAUGAUGGAGUUGGGAACACAUUUAGCGGUCACCCACUUGCCUUGGUAAAAGAGUUGGAGGCCAGGAACCAUGUUGUGGAGAAUGAAAGUGAGUGCACUUAUAUCGGUGUGAGCUUCGACACCGAGAGCGAGUUCUGGUUGUGGACACUUGGGGUAGUAAUUGAUUUUCAAUUGAAGAAGAAGCUCUUCCACGCCACCAACUUCCUUCUCUAGCCUUCCUUCUUCUAAUCCCAAGCAAAUUGAUAGUGCUGAAAGUAUUUUGCUCGCUAGGCCUCGCAGUUGCCUUGCAUACUCACUUGUAACUUCACUUCAAGACAAGUAAAUGAUGAAUCAGUACCAAUUAACAUUAAAUAUGUAAGUAAAAACAAGCUAAGCUAAACUCACGUGUAUUCGCUGGGGAUUUUAGGCCAAAUUGACAAGUCUCUCUUAUCCUCAGGAAAAAUAAGAUGGAAGAAGUAGUCCUCCCACUCAAGCUGCCCACUAGCAUUGUUAGCAAGCUUGCUACCAUAGCCCUGAACAUUCCCAGAGCUCUGGUCGUUGGCAUACUUCUCUUUCUCCUCCACAGGGAGUU
rnacentral:lncRNA from 1 species